rnacentral:rRNA from 1 species
ACGGGUUGUCUGCUGGCUCGCAAGGGCAUGUGCACGCCUGUCUCAUCCACUCUCAACUUCUGUGCACUUUUCAUAGGCCGGCUUGUGGGUGCGUUCGCGCACUUGUAGGUGUCGGGCUUAUGCUUUAUUACAAACGAUUCAGUUUUAGAAUGUCAUACUUUGCUAUAACGCAAUUUAUAUACAACUUUCAGCAACGGAUCUCUUGGCUCUCGCAUCGAUGAAGAACGCAGCGAAAUGCGAUAAGUAAUGUGAAUUGCAGAAUUCAGUGAAUCAUCGAAUCUUUGAACGCACCUUGCGCUCCUUGGUAUUCCGAGGAGCAUGCCUGUUUGAGUCUCAUGGAAUUCUCAACCUUCAGCUUUAUUGAUGAAGGCUUGGACUUGGAGGUCGUGCCGGCUCUCGUAGUCGGCUCCUCUGAAAUGCAUUAGUGCGAACGUUACCAGCCGCUUCAGCGUGAUAAUUAUCUGCGUUGCUGUGGAGGGUAUUCUAGUGUUCACGCUUCUAAUCGUCUUCGGACAAAUUUCUGAACUCUGAGCUCAAAUCAGGUAGGACUACCCGCUGAACUUAAGCAUAUCAAUAAGCGGAGGAAAAGAAACUAACAAGGAUUCCCCUAGUAACUGCGAGUGAAGCGGGAAAAGCUCAAAUUUAAAAUCUGGCGGUCUUCGGCCGUCCGAGUUGUAAUCUGGAGAAGCGUUUUCCGCGCUGGACCGUGUACAAGUCUCUUGGAACAGAGCGUCAUAGAGGGUGAGAAUCCCGUCUUUGACACGGACUACCAGUGCUAUGUGAUGCGCUCUCGAUGAGUCGAGUUGUUUGGGAAUGCAGCUCAAAAUGGGUGGUAAAUUCCAUCUAAAGCUAAAUAUUGGCGAGAGACCGAUAGCGAACAAGUACCGUGAGGGAAAGAUGAAAAGCACUUUGGAAAGAGAGUUAAACAGUACGUGAAAUUGCUGAAAGGGAAACGAUUGAAGUCAGUCGCGUGUGCUAGAACUCAGCCUUGCUUUUGCUUGGUGCAUUUUCUAGUGUACGGGCCAGCAUCAGUUUUGGCCGCCGGAAAAAGGCCUUGGGAAUGUGGCACCUUCGGGUGUGUUAUAGCCCUUGGUUGUAUACGGUGGCUGGGACUGAGGAACAUAGCAUGCCUUUACGGCGGGGCUUCGGCCACCUUCAUGCUUUGGAUGCUGGCGUAAUGGCUUUAAACGACCCGUCUUGAAACACGGACCAAGGAGUCUAACAUGCCUGCGAGUGUUUGGGUGGAAAACCCGAGCGCGUAAUGAAAGUGAAAGUUGGGACUUCUGUCGUGGAAGGCACCGACGCCCGGACCAGACCUUCUGUGACGGAUCCGCGGUAGAGCAUGUAUGUUGGGACCCGAAAGAUGGUGAACUAUGCCUGAAUAGGGUGAAGCCAGAGGAAACUCUGGUGGAGGCUCGUAGCGAUUCUGACGUGCAAAUCGAUCGUCAAAUUUGGGUAUAGGGGCGAAAGACUAAUCGAACCAUCUAGUAGCUGGUUCCUGCCGAAGUUUCCCUCAGGAUAGCAGAAACUCGUAUCAGAUUUAUGUGGUAAAGCGAAUGAUUAGAGGCCUUGGGGUUGAAACAACCUUAACCUAUUCUCAAACUUUAAAUAUGUAAGAACGAGCCGUCACUUGA